ACUCGCUCGCCCUUAUUCUUUAAGCUUCACCUCAAACAUUUGAAAACUAAAUUAUUUUUGUUUCAUAUUGACUUUCAAAUUAAAAUACUGGAUAUUUUUAGGAGGAGUAAGGUUAGUAAGCCUUUAAAUUAAUCACUGCGCUUUUUAAAAUUCUGAUGACAACAAAGAUUAUGAUUGAUACUAAAAUGAGUACACCUUUCCUAUACCAGGAAUACAUUUUAAAAUACAAAAUAUUGCUACUAUUUAUAUGAAUUGUUAAUCUACAAUUAACUGAAUUUGAUUGUGCCUAGUAGCUUUUUAUGAAAAAAACUUACCUUCAUUUUCAUAAUGUGAUUUAGUGUACAAAAUGCGAUUGUUCAUCAGUACGCCUGACAACUUUUAUGUAAAGGUCUCAAAUUAGAUGAAGUUGUUGACUGCAUUUCAUAUAUGAUGAAAUGGUAUUUUUUUCCCUAAUUCCACUGCCCAUAUCGUUAACUUUGGUAUAGAAGAUGGAGGUCGUUUCAAAGUUCAAUCUAUCUCACAUAUGGUGUUAAAUUUUCAUAGUAUGACAUGAUAUUCAUUUUCACGGAUUUUACAUGUAGCACAUACCGCAAAGGCUUUUGUGAUGCGGCUUCUCGAAGCAAACAUUCUUCUUUUUGUUGCAGAUAAAAAGCUAUAUGAACAUUUAAUUCGUUGUAUACAUUAGUUAACUCCAUUGUGUUUACCCCUCUAUUCUAUGUUGAUCCGCUCCUCCAAUCAGCACGAUUGGUUAAAUUCAUUCACUUAAUAAUUAUUGCAACAUGUCCAAUAUCACUGACCAGAGGUUUUUAAUGAAUGAACUAUACUAUUAAUUUAAGUUUUUAAUACCUCAAUUUAAGGCGUAUUAUACAUUUUGACCUAAGUGCUUAAGACUUU
rnacentral:lncRNA from 1 species